UUGGAGGGCAAGUCUGGUGCCAGCAGCCGCGGUAAUUCCAGCUCCAAUAGCGUAUAUUAAAGUUGUUGCAGUUAAAAAGCUCGUAGUUGAAUUUCGGGAUUGACGUGAUGGUCAUGCCUUAAGGGGUAUGAACUGUUGCAGUUGAUUUCUCACCUUCUGGAGAAACUUGAUGUCCUUUAUUGGGUGUCUUGCGGAUCCAGGACCUUUACCUUGAAAAAAUUAGAGUGUUUAAAGCAGGCAUUUUUGCUCGAAUACAUUAGCAUGGAAUAAUAGAAUAGGACGGCAUGGUUCUAUUUUGUUGGUUUCUAGGAUCACCGUAAUGAUUAAUAGGGAUAGUUGGGGGCAUUAGUAUUCAAUUGUCAGAGGUGAAAUUCUUGGAUUUAUUGAAGACUAACUACUGCGAAAGCAUUUGCCAAGGAUGUUUUCAUUAAUCAAGAACGAAAGUUAGGGGAUCGAAGACGAUCAGAUACCGUCGUAGUCUUAACCAUAAACUAUGCCGACUAGGAAUCAGACGAUGUUAAUUUUUUAAUGACUCGUUUGGCACCUUACGGGAAACCAAAGUGUUUGGGUUC
rnacentral:rRNA from 1 species